AUGGCCAGCUCAUGUCAACAAUACACAUUUGCUCAGGACUUCAUUCACUCAGGGCUUCUUUGGCUCCCCACAGCAGAAGUUUCCUGCUUACCCUCUGACACUUCUAAUAACUCCAUAAGAAGAUACACUGACCACUCAUCAUCAGAAAAUGAGAGACAUUUGGAGAAUAGCCAUGCCAGUAGAGCCCAGACUGAACUGCCAAGCCUUCAGAUGACCAACAGCCAGAUGAGGUGGUCAUAUCCAAAUCAGGCUUUAGCUGACCAGCUACCAAACAAAAGCAGCUGCUACAAGCCAGCAAGCACACGUGCGAGGACUCUCACAUGGAGGGUGGCCGGCACCUCCUGCAUCACCCCCCACACUCUCAGAAGGCUCUAAAAUGAAUUUCUCAGAAGAAAAAAAACUCUUCUGAAGUGAUGGCUUCCUGGUAUCAUAGCAAGGGUAAAGGUCUUCUGAAAGAAACAAAUGGACCUGGGAUGUAAGGAAUACAAAGAAAUCCAAUGGCUGAAUUCCCAUCAAAGAGAAAGGAAUGGCGGUAGGAAGACAGCUCAGUCAGUGAAGAGCUUGCCUUGUAAGUUCGAUUCCUAGAUACAACAAUAAGAGAAGUCA
rnacentral:lncRNA from 1 species